CGCGUGGAAUCGCAGCGUCCCAUACUCCCACGUUGUCUAGGGUAGAAGCCAAGCAGCCCCUCCCCUUCCUCCUAUUCCCCGUCAAUGCACAACCGCUUCCGCUAGUGUCAGGGUCAGGUACCCACGAUGCAUGAGAGUCAGAGCUAUCGGCUGCAGUCAGGGCCUGGAUGGCAUUGUAUCCAAGCGGCCCGCGACAGCGAACACGCGUGCGCCAUCCAUAGGAUUAGGCAGAGUGUGUCCGCGCAACUCGAACGUACCUGUUACCCCCGCCCCCGCGCUCACACUGCCAACUGGUGUGGGAGGCCUCAGCCGCCCCAGAGAGAGAUACACCAUCGGUAUCGACCAGCAUGCUGGGAGGAGCGGCUCUGGGGCAACCUGCGAGGCGGCCGCAGUAGGUAGAGUUCCAGGCCGAGUCGGUGCAUUACUGUCGCGCGCGCCUACCGCUGCUCCGCUGGCACGAGAUGGGCCGGGGGUAGGGUGGGCUUUCAUUCAUGUUGUGUGGCAGAGAGUGGAUGCGUUGAAGAUGGCAAGCUAUCGCUUUUCCCCUUGGCAGUCUUCUCCGUUAUGGUAUGUUUCUUCACUUUCCUGCACCUCCUUUGAGUCUAGCGCCGUGUAUAAAGUCUCAUACCUGUGCCUCCCUGCGCGCGUGUUCCAUGAAGGAGCGAUCAAGAACAACACUUCCAGCAGCGCCGGAGAAGCGCAGCGCGUGAGGAGGGGCCUCUUUCGUACCGCUUCUUCCCUGUGCAACUGUGCAUGUGCCCCCAAAUAGAAAACAUAUGUAAGCCAGAAGAACUUUUGUUGAGUAGGGUGUUUUGCCCUUUUUGUGUCACGUCUCCGCGUUGGUGGCGGAUGAGCAAUGUCGUUCAAGGGACUGCUUCCGUGUCCAUAUGGAAGGCCAUCGCCGCUGCCUGCUCUGAUAACCUCCCUCGCGCGCGCCCCCAACGCUUCAGCCGCACACCUCUUUCUAGCCUCCUAACCCUCGUUUCUUUUCGUCCCUCCCCCCCCCCCUCGACGGGGUAUUCGGUGUGUCUCGCCAGCGUGUGACGGUACGUGCAAAAACUCACAAGAAACGCCCAAGCGAGCAAGCAGCCUUUACGGCUCCAUUGAAGAAUACGCGGGGGGUGGACCGUCGCCGCUCUUCCCGUGCGCCUCUCGCUGCUCUGCGGCAGUGCCAGAAACGUGUGCGCUCGUCUGUGGUGUGCCGCGCGGGCCUAAGGACCGGCGUACUAUUUGUGGCCCUGGUUGAGGGUAGCCUCUCCUCACAUCCAACGGCAGUGCCUUCUUCUCCCAACGCAGCACGUAUACGUCUUUUUCUCUCUGCCUUCCUCUCCACUUCCUGCACCCUGCGCAG
rnacentral:misc_RNA from 1 species